rnacentral:lncRNA from 1 species
GACGGGCUGUUCUGUGUUGUUCUGAAACAAGCCGUUAAAAAUUAUUCCUAGGAAAACUGAGAAUAAUUCUGUUCUUCUCUUUAUUUUAUUAGAUAAAUAGAUAUAUAAAUAAUAUAUUAAAAUAAAUAUUAUUUUUUUGAUAAUAUAUUUAUACUUUAAUUUUAUUAUAUAAUAUAAAUUAAUUAAAAUUGAUAUAUCAUUUAUUUUAUUAAGUUAUAUCAUUUAUAAUUUAAUAUUUAAUUAUUUUAUGUUAUAUUAAGUUUNAUUAUAUAUAAAAAAUUAUUUUUUCAUGUAUUAUAUAUAUAUUUUAAUUUGUAUUGAAAUUUAUACUAUUAUUAAUUAAAAUUAUAAGGAUAUUGUUAGUUAUACUUUAUUCAUUGCAUAUAUUAUGAAUAAAUUAUAUAAAAUAAAUUAUUAUAUUUAAUAAAAUAAAUAUACUAUUUUAAAUUAAAUUAUUAUAUGUAAUAUUAUAUUAUAAAUUACAAUAAAAAUAAUUUUAUAAAAAAUAUACUAAUUAAAUGAAUUAUUUUAUUUUUAAAGAUAUAUUUAGACAUUGUUUUGGACUUUUUAUCCAAACGCUACUAAGGAUAUUCUCUAAAAUAUCCCAGAAUGCAUCCAAACACAAAUUUACAAUUGUUCUAUCUUAUACCGGAAUAUUCUUGUUCUCGAAAACAACAAAAGCUGUUCUUUUUUAUGAGUUGAGCUGAAUACUCCUAAAAGCACCAAUCUUAGAUCCACCUCCUAUUGGUGCUUUUAGGUUCCUCCCUCUUAGACCCACC